rnacentral:rRNA from 1 species
AUUGAACGCUGGCGGCAGGCCUAACACAUGCAAGUCGAACGAGUGGCGGACGGGUGAGUAAUGUUUGGGAAUCUAGCUUAUGGCGGGGGAUAACUACGGGAAACUGUAGCUAAUACCGCGUACCAUAGGAUGAGCCCAAGUGGGAUUAGGUAUUUGGUGAGGUAAAGGCUCACCAAGUCGACGAUCUCUAGCUGGGCUGAGAGGGUGAACAGCCACACUGGGACUGAGACACGGCCCAGACUCCUACGGUAGGCAGCAGUGGGGAAUAUUGCGCAAUGGGGGCAACCUGACGCAGCAAUGCCGCGUGAAUGAAGAAGGCCUUCGGGUUGUAAAGUUCUGUCGGUAGCGAAGCGUUAACUACAGAAGAAGCACCGGCUAACUCCGUGCCAGCAGCCGCGGUAAUAC